CAGGACAUGGAGCUGGUUGUGAUUCCCACCAUGGCCUGGGCCCCGCUCCUUCUCGCUCUGCUCACAUGCUGCUCAGUUCCAGGUUCUCUUGCCCAGUACGUGCUGACUCAGCCGCCUGCAGCGUCCGUCUCCCCGGGACAGACUGCCCGGCUCACCUGCACAGGGACCAGUUUUAGGAGCUACUAUGUACAGUGGUUCCAGCAGAAACCCGGCAGUGCCCCCCUGCAGCUGAUCUAUCAGGACAGCAAGAGACCCUCCGGCAUCCCUGACCGAUUCUCUGGUGCCAAAUCUGGUGACACGGCCACGUUGACCAUCACUGGAGUCCAGGCCCAGGAUGAGGCUGAUUAUUACUGCCAGGUGUGGGAUAGCAGCAGCAGUCAGUACCACAGUGACACAGACCAGGAGCAGGAUAUCAGCACUGUCCUCAGGAACUUCUUCCAAGCCCUUCGGUCAUGGAAGAGCUGA